UCCGGUUCGGUUCGGUUCGGUUCAGAUCGACUUGGCGGGGAUUGGAUCGCUUUUCUCAACGUUUCUGCCUGACCUGCUAUGGCCAACUUUGCACUAAGAAAAUCAUAAAUAGGUCUACACUUGUGCUACCUCACCUGCUGCUCCUCCAGACUCGCCUUUUGGCCUCUGCUUUUGCGGUUCUCGACAACUUUCACCUUUCACGUAAUCUGGCGAAGCCGAACAAAUCUGUUUGGGCCAGGCUUUCUCAGCUCGGCGGAUCCGCUGGAGAUUCAUUUAUUGUCGCUGCUAUUUGCCAAUUGACCAUUUCCAGCUGGAGGAACUCAAUUACAGAGCCGCCGAUCUUCUCUCGCAUUCGCAUUCACAUUCGCAUUUGGGAUCGCUGUUUAUGGUCCAGGCAGCUCAUCAUCUAGCGGUACAUUGGCCAUAGAUUGCAGAUCGCUGGAUCGGUGAAACAGGGGGGCUUGGUAAUCAUUGAGAUUCUGAGAGAAAGAGGCGCUCCAGUCUAGAUUUGGUGAAGAGGAAUCGUUGGGAAAUGCCAAUUCCAGGCAGGAUGUGCCAUCUUUCUAAUUGCGUCCCAAGGAAGUCGGUCAUUUGGAGUGGAAUCUGAAUUCCUAAAAAUACCUUCUUCAUCACUUUAAGCCCAUCAAUCUAUACCAAUAUAUUAAAUUCAAUUUUAUAUAUAUGCUCGACAUGAACUGCAAAGACAAAGUUUCCGUUGAUUUAUAAAGUUUUCCCAUAUCUGGAUCCCCUAACUAUAAAUCCCUCAUCCUCGCACUUUGCGGAAAUGGAACUACUUCAGCAGCCCAGAUUCCGGAAUCCGAGCUAAGCUGCUCCUGAUUCACUGAUUCACUGCUCCUCUCUGGGUGAGUGAGAAAAAUUAACUUUGCAUGGAAUUCAAUUUACGUCCCAUGGGAGGACGAUGAUUUCCUGCCAAAGCAGUGUCCUGCGCUCUCUAAGGAUCUAAGGAUGUUCCCCCAGGUCCUGUGCUGUGUGCUGUGUUCUGUGUUCUGUGUCCUGUGUGCGUCCAUAUUCCGGAGAUGCAGUCCGGAGCAGCUGAGACGGAGGAUUCAGCUGCUGAGGCUGCUUCCGUCAUUUCCUUGACGUAAAGGCUUCUCUGCUUCCCAUGCCCUCCAUUCUCGCAUUCCGUUUGCCAUUUUCCGGGGGCCGAAGUGGAUGUGGGAAAUGGGAAAUGGACGAGGAGGGAGCUGCCGGGAGAUGCCGGCGGCAACGUCACGCUUCCUGCAGGAUGCGACAACGUAGUCAGAUGUCCAAUUCGCCCCCGCUUUCUCCUGACUCACGUCUGUGACCAGCACAGAAAGAAAUCAAGCAUAUAAUUACCAAAAAUGAGUGUCUUUUACUAUUUAUACACUAUUAAUACAUAAAAUCCUAAAACUUACGAAUCAGUUAUUUUGAACUAUUUUUUAUUGUUUAUUUUUGUAGUUCAGUACCAGAAUGUUGUUGAGAAUACACAAACUAAAACGUAUAAUGAUAAUUCUAUCCUACUACUUAUGAAUUAAAUAUUUUGAAAAUGUUUUUUUUUUUUUGUAGUUCUAUAAUAGUGCA